rnacentral:tRNA from 1 species
GCCGCCUUAGCUCAGUAGGUUAGAGCGCUUGAUUGUGGAUCAAGAGGUCCCUGGUUCGAGACCAGGAUGUGGUACCA